rnacentral:rRNA from 1 species
AAUAGAUACCCCGGUAGUCCACGCCCUAAACGAUGUGUGCUAGAUGUCGGGGGGACUUGUCUCUCGGUGUCGGAGUUAACGUUUUAAGCACACCGCCUGGGGAGUACGGCCGCAAGGUUAAAACUCGAAGGAAUUGACGGGGGCCCGCACAAGCGGUGGAGCAUGUGGUUUAAUUCGACGCAACGCGCAGAACCUUACCAACUCUUGACAUGGCCGGUUUACCCGCAGAGAUGCGGCGUCCCGCAAGGGGCCGGUUACAGGUGCUGCAUGGCUGUCGUCAGCUCGUGUCGUGAGAUGUUGGGUUAAGUCCCGCAACGAGCGCAACCCUUGUCCGUAGUUGCCAUCAGGUUGGGCUGGGCACUCUACGGGGACUGCCGGUGACAAACCGGAGGAAGGUGGGGAUGACGUCAAGUCCUCAUGGCCCUUACGAGUUGGGCUACACACGUGCUACAAUGGUGGUGACAGAGGGCAGCCAGGUCGCGAGGCCGAGCAAAUCCCUAAAAGCCAUCUCAGUUCGGAUUGCACUCUGCAACUCGGGGUGC